GGAUUAGAUACCCUGGUAGUCCACACCGUAAACGAUGAUUGCUAGUUGUUGGCAGAUUUAUCUGUCUGUGACGCAGCUAACGCAUUAAGCAAUCCGCCUGGGGAGUACGGCCGCAAGGUUAAAACUCAAAGAAAUUGACGGGGGCCCGCACAAGCGGUGGAGCAUGUGGUUUAAUUCGAACCAACGCGCAGAACCUUACCUGCUCUUGACAUCCCGAUCGCGGUUAGUGGAGACACUCUCCUUCAGUUAGGCUGGAUCGGUGACAGGUGCUGCAUGGCUGUCGUCAGCUCGUGCUG
rnacentral:rRNA from 1 species